GGGCCGAUAGCUCAACUGGCAGAGCAAGCGACUCUUAAUCGCUAGGUUGACGGUUCGAUUCCGUCUCGGCCCA
rnacentral:tRNA from 3 species